UACGGAGGGUGCAAGCGUUAUCCGGAUUCACUGGGUUUAAAGGGUGCGUAGGUGGGCAGGUAAGUCAGUGGUGGAAUCUCCGGGCUUAACCCGGAAACUGCCGUUGAUACUAUCUGUCUUGAAUAUAGUGGAGGUGAGCGGAAUAUGUCAUGUAGCGGUGAAAUGCUUAGAUAUGACAUAGAACAUCGAUUGCGAAGGCAGCUCGCUACGCUAUUAUUGACACUGAGGCACGAAAGCGUGGGGAUCAAACAGG
rnacentral:rRNA from 1 species